GUAGUCGUGGCCGAGUGGUUAAGGCGAUGGACUGGAAAUGCAUUGGGCUCUGCCCGCGCAGGUUCGAAUCCUUCCGACUAAG
rnacentral:tRNA from 1 species